rnacentral:rRNA from 1 species
AUUGAACGCUGGCGGCAUGCUUUACACAUGCAAGUCGAACGGCAGCACGGGCUUCGGCCUGGUGGCGAGUGGCGAACGGGUGAGUAAUAUAUCGGAACGUACCCAGAAGUGGGGGAUAACGUAGCGAAAGUUACGCUAAUACCGCAUACGAUCUAUGGAUGAAAGUAGGGGACCGCAAGGCCUCGUGCUCCUGGAGCGGCCGAUAUCUGAUUAGCUAGUUGGUGAGGUAAAGGCUCACCAAGGCGACGAUCAGUAGCUGGUCUGAGAGGACGACCAGCCACACUGGAACUGAGACACGGUCCAGACUCCUACGGGAGGCAGCAGUGGGGAAUUUUGGACAAUGGGCGCAAGCCUGAUCCAGCAAUGCCGCGUGAGUGAAGAAGGCCUUCGGGUUGUAAAGCUCUUUUGUCAGGGAAGAAACGGUAGAGGCUAAUAUCCUUUGCUAAUGACGGUACCUGAAGAAUAAGCACCGGCUAACUACGUG